GACAACGCUGGCGGCGUGCUUAACACAUGCAAGUCGAACGGUGACGAGGAGCUUGCUCCUCUGAUCAGUGGCGAACGGGUGAGUAACACGUGAGCAACCUGCCCCAGACUCUGGGAUAACAGUUGGAAACAGCUGCUAAUACCGGAUACGAGACGGAGAGGCAUCUCUACCGUCUGGAAAGUUUUCGGUCUGGGAUGGACUCGCGGCCUAUCAGCUAGUUGGUGAGGUAAUGGCUCACCAAGGCGACGACGGGUAGCCGGCCUGAGAGGGCGACCGGCCACACUGGGACUGAGACACGGCCCAGACUCCUACGGGAGGCAGCAGUGGGGAAUAUUGCACAAUGGGCGAAAGCCUGAUGCAGCGACGCCGCGUGAGGGAUGACGGCCUUCGGGUUGUAAACCUCUUUCAGCAGGGAAGAAGCGAAAGUGACGGUACCUGCAGAAGAAGCACCGGCUAACUACGUG
rnacentral:rRNA from 1 species